rnacentral:tRNA from 1 species
UCCGGGAUCGUCUAAUGGUAGGACGCCAGACUCUGAAUCUGGUAAUCGGGGUUCGAAUCCCUGUCCCGGAGCCA